GCCGGGCGUGGUGGCUCGUGCCUGUAAUCCCAGCACUUUGGGAGGCUGAGGCAGGCGAAUCACUUGAGGUCAGGAGUUCUAGACCAGCCUGGCCAACAUGGUGAAACCCUGUCUCUA
rnacentral:SRP_RNA from 1 species